rnacentral:rRNA from 1 species
UACGUAGGGUCCAAGCGUUAAUCGGAAUUACUGGGCGUAAAGCGUGCGCAGGCGGUUCGUUAAGUCAGCUGUGAAAUCCCCGGGCUUAACCUGGGAAUGGCAUUUGGGACUGCAAGGCUGGAGUGCGGCAGAGGAGACUGGAAUUCCUGGUGUAGCGGUGAAAUGCGCAGAUAUCAGGAGGAACACCGGUGGCGAAGGGCGGG